AUGUACGAGCUACACUUCGCCGUGCCCAUGGCCAGCGCCGUCCUCUGCACGCUUAACACGCGGCACGACGCGGCCAUGGUGUCCACCCUGCUGAAGCACUCCGAUGCCAAGGUGUUCCUCGUUGAGUCGAGCCUUCUCGGAAUCGGGAGAGACGCGCUGCAUCGUCUCGCCGACCCUAGGUCCGGCGCCGCCAGCAUUCCAGUCCUCGUAACCAUCUCUGACGACACCGACUCCAUCGACCCUGACGUCUGCGAAAAUGAGUAUGAGGCUCUCAUCAAGAGUACCCCUUGGCAUUUCGACAUCCGCUGGCCGGCGAAUGAGUUGGACCCCAUCACGCUCAACUACACGUCUGGCACGACGUCGCGGCCCAAGGGUGUGCUCUACAACCACCGGGGCGUGUACCUGAACACCAUCGCCACGGUCCUCGGUUACGACAUCACUCCGAUGCCGACGUACCUGUGGACUGUGCCCAACGGCUGGAGCCUGACGUGGGUUGUCGCCAUGCAGGGUGGCACCAACAUCUGUCUCCGCCACUUCACGACGAGGGUCAUCUUCGACAGCAUCGCACGACAUGGAGGGACACACAUGGGCGGUGCACCUACGGUUCUCAACAUGACCGUUAAUGCGCCCGCCGUAGAUCGAAGGCCACCGUCGACCGAGACGGUGGUGCGUGUCAUGACGGGCGGCGCGCCGCCACCGCCCCGCGUCCUGGCUGGAAUGGAGGAGCUUGGUUUCGUGGUAUAUCAUAUAUACGGCCUCACGGAGACGCACGGUGCAGCCACUGUGUGCACUUUGACGCCGGAGUGGGAUGCGCUGCCGGUGGAGGAGCGCGCGCGGCUCAAGGCGCGACAGGGGUUCCAUCACAUAGCGAUGGAGGAUGCCGAUGUCAAGGACCCAACCACCAUGGAGAGUGUGCCGCACGACGGUAAGACAGUGGGCGAGGUGAUGUUCCGUGGCAACACAGUCAUGAGUGGGUACUACAAGGAUGUUGAUGCGACCAAAGAGUCCAUGGCGGGAGGGUGGUUGCGCACAGGGGACCUUGCCAUCCGGCACCCAGACGGGUACAUCCAAGUCAAAGAUAGGGCCAAGGACAUCAUCAUAUCGGGCGGCGAGAACAUCAGCUCGAUUGAGGUGGAGUCCAUAAUCUUUGGCCACCCGGCGGUGCUCGAGGCGGCGGUUGUGGCGAGGCCCGACGACCAUUGGGGGGAGACACCAUGUGCCUUCGUCAAGCUGAAGGAUGGCACAAGUUCCACAGAAACAGAGAUCAUAGGCUUCUGUCGGGAGAAGCUGCCACACUACAUGGUGCCCAAGAUAGUGGUAUUUGAGGAUUUGCCCAAAGCUUCCACCGGGAAGACGCAGAAGUUUGUUCUUCGAGAGAAGGGGCGGGAGCGAGGCGAGGGCGAGGGGGGAUGGCGGGAG
rnacentral:rRNA from 1 species